AAGCUGAUAAAUAUAGAUGCGACAAGAUUGCAAUAGAUAGAGUUGAUAUAUCACCACGGUAUGCAAUAACGUUACAAUGGAACUAGCCACCCUUCACUGUUCUAUGGAGUGUUGUCCUCGGAUUCUUCAGGGAAGUUCAUUGUUAGGACACCAGUGGAGUACCACAUUCUCGUUGUAAUCACCCCAGCGUUCAGUUUUAAUUCCUCCAGUUCUGCCUCACUCAUAUAAUCCCGGGGAUCGGGAUUAAGGGGGCACUGUAAAACAGCGUUAAGGCGGGGCCAGUUCCAGUCUCUUAAUCCGGGGUUUGUGAAAUCAACGAAAGAUAAUGCUCGAAGAAUAUCCGGCAUUUUACACGGAGCGGAAAAUACGGGGACCACUUUUUUACUCCUUGCACCUGUUGAAAAAUUGAAGCAAUUUUAAAAAAAGCGGACGACGUUUUUUUUUCUUUAAAAUUGUUUCUAAGAUCGGCGGAAGUUCUAGUGGUAAUUUACCUGGUGACAAACAGUGGGCAAAUUUGAGCUGAAAAUCGGCUGCAGCACUUUUUAAAAAGUCUGGAGACAAGAUAACCAGUGUUCUUCGACACCUGAAAGAACAACCCAUACAUGCCAUUGACAAGUCAAAUUUUAAUAAAUUGAUAAGAGUCUUUAUAAUCGUCUCAUACCGUGUAGCAAUCAUGUGGGCAGAGACUUCAUAACGAGAGGGUCCCGGAAGAUCGUCUCUCCAGGGAAUGCAGAAUUUCAGAUUGUAAGGCGGGGCCUCCAUUUUCCCCGAGAGCUCCUUCACGAACUCCAAGUCCUUCCCCACAGGGUUGUAUAUCACAAAGGCGUCAUAAUAGAGCGUGUCACCUAAAAAUCCAGUUAAUCUACGUAGUUAUUUCAAAAAUACACGAUGACAAAUUUAACUCUGGAAAUUGAAGUAAAGGCAACAUGCAUUAAGGUGGCAGGGGACAGUUUUUUAAAAAUACAAUUCACGGGUGAGGUGUGUCUUUGGAACUCUGUAUUCUGUAGAGUUUCCUCAGUUCCCAUUCAGCACAAAUACCUUUAAUUUACUCCUUGCAAGGCCAACCACCAAUUUUUGAGGAAAAUUACUAGUCAGAACGUGCAUAAUUUUCUACAUAAUGUUUAUCUGAGAUUACGAUCAUUUCAUAUUUCACCCAUUAUUCAUGAUUUUUUAGUUUCUUAGACACCCCCAUCUAAUUCCGUACCGUGUGUAUGCUGCAACACCACAAGUCAAGAACUUACUGGUGUAUAGUUUACUGUGUUCCAUUCACCUGCUAUUCGUGUUUUUUUUUACUUCCCGUCUGUAACUUGCAAUAUCAGUGUGUAAAGUCAACACAGCAGUCAUAGCCGCUAGUUUCACAUUUAACUUCUGAUUCUCAUAUACUUAAGAUUGAGUACCUACAUUUUGCAUAUCAAAGUCAACAAGAGACAUCACUCUAACUAACAAUAACAAGUAAAGACCAUUUCAAGAAUUUUAGCAACAUUUAUAAGCCUUCAAGUAGCAACUCUAAAUUUUACAAAAAUAUUGACGGGUAUUUUAUCCGAAACUGUCCCUUGUUACUUAAACAGAUAUCAAUACAUAGUAUCAGAUUAUACAACAAGGUGGUAUCCUUUAACAAUAUGACAGUUCAUGAGGAAUCUUUUAUUUUUUCUUAGAGUAUGAGUACCCAGACCCCCUAACCCUCUCUAGAUCUGCGCAUGCUUAAGCACCUCAUGUGUUGUCCAAUUUCUUUAUGUGUUUAAUUUGAUGCAUCAAAAAAUAUAUUGUUUUAUAAAUGAGUGGCAUGUCGUAAGUUGAAUUUUUGAAAUACUUUUGGGUUAGUAUCUUAAAUUUAAAGUACGUAGUUAAACGUGUAUGCUUAUUAAUCAUAUCAUUAUGCAAUACAAUUUUUUUUAACAGUAUUAAACUUAAAAAUGUAACGCGUGAUUUCCCCGCCCCUUUAUAAGAAUUCGCCCAGUAUUAUAUUGAUAAAUAUGUUCUCGGAAAUAAAAGCUUAAACACG
rnacentral:sRNA from 1 species